CUGCCAAGAUUAAGCCAUGCAUGUCUAAGUAUAAGCAACUAUACGGUGAAACUGCGAAUGGCUCAUUAAAUCAGUUAUCGUUUAUUUGAUAGUACCUUACUACAUGGAUAACCGUGGUAAUUCUAGAGCUAAUACAUGCUAAAAACCUCGACUUCGGAAGGGGUGUAUUUAUUAGAUAAAAAACCAAUGCCCUUCGGGGCUCCUUGGUGAAUCAUAAUAACUUAACGAAUCGCAUGGCCUUGCGCCGGCGAUGGUUCAUUCAAAUUUCUGCCCUAUCAACUUUCGAUGGUAGGAUAGUGGCCUACCAUGGUAUCAACGGGUAACGGGGAAUUAGGGUUCGACUCCGGAGAGGGAGCCUGAGAAACGGCUACCACAUCCAAGGAAGGCAGCAGGCGCGCAAAUUACCCAAUCCCGACACGGGGAGGUAGUGACAAUAAAUACUGAUACAGGGCUCUUUUGGGUCUUGUAAUUGGAAUGAGUACAAUUUAAAUCCCUUAACGAGGAACAAUUGGAGGGCAAGUCUGGUGCCAGCAGCCGCGGUAAUUCCAGCUCCAAUAGCGUAUAUUAAAGUUGUUGCAGUUAAAAAGCUCGUAGUUGAACCUUGGGCCUGGCUGGCCGGUCCGCCUCACCGCGUGUACUGGUCCGGCCGGGCCUUUCCUUCUGGGGAACCUCAUGCCCUUCACUGGGCGUGUUGGGGAACCAGGACUUUUACUUUGAAAAAAUUAGAGUGUUCAAAGCAGGCCUUUGCUCGAAUACAUUAGCAUGGAAUAAUAGAAUAGGACGUGUGGUUCUAUUUUGUUGGUUUCUAGGACCGCCGUAAUGAUUAAUAGGGAUAGUCGGGGGCAUCAGUAUUCAAUCGUCAGAGGUGAAAUUCUUGGAUUGAUUGAAGACUAACUACUGCGAAAGCAUUUGCCAAGGAUGUUUUCAUUAAUCAGUGAACGAAAGUUAGGGGAUCGAAGACGAUCAGAUACCGUCGUAGUCUUAACCAUAAACUAUGCCGACUAGGGAUCGGACGGUGUUAGUAUUUUGACCCGUUCGGCACCUUACGAGAAAUCAAAGUUUUUGGGUUCUGGGGGGAGUAUGGUC
rnacentral:rRNA from 1 species